GCCGGUGUAGUUCAUUGGUAGAAUGCGACCUUCCCAAGGUUGAGAGGCGGGUUCGAUUCCCGUCACCGGCUCAA
rnacentral:tRNA from 1 species